rnacentral:rRNA from 1 species
UACAGAGGUCUCAAGCGUUGUUCGGAUUCAUUGGGCGUAAAGGGUGCGUAGGUGGCAGGGUAAGUCGGAUGUGAAAUCCCGGGGCUCAACCUCGGAACUGCAUUCGAUACUGCCUGACUGGAGUACUGGAGAGGAGAUUGGAAUUUACGGUGUAGCAGUGAAAUGCGUAGAUAUCGUAAGGAAGACCAGUGGCGAAGGCGGAUCUCUGGACAGUUACUGACACUGAGGCACGAAGGCCAGGGGAGCAAACGGG